GAGGUUAUGGCUCAGUGGUAGAGCACUUGCCUAGCAUGUAUGAGACUUGGGUUCGAUCCUCAGCUUCA
rnacentral:tRNA from 1 species